AUACAGUGUAAUAAUGGUUUCAGGAAUAGAAUUUAGUGACUGAUCACUUACAGAGAACACCCAGCGCUCAUCCCAACAAGUGUCCUCCUUAGUGCCCCUCGCCCAUUUGGUCCACCCCCCAACCCAAUAAAUCUUUUAAUCUGCGACAGCCCCCUUUUUCCCACACCUUUAACUCGGUGACAGGCUGGGACCCACCACCCUGCGACAGGUCCUGCAGGUAAAGGAGGCCGGGGUCACACAGCGUAGACCGACCGGCUCUGGUGGGAGGAGGGACGUCUGGGCUGAGGCCCGAGAGGCGCCCAGGAGGCCCCUGGGGAGAUGCCCGCUGGAGCGCCUGCGCUCGGGGGAGGAGCCGGCCCGAGUGGACGGGCCCGGGGGCGGGGCCAGUGCUUCGGGGGCGUGUCCAGCGGUGGGCGAGCCCGGCGUGGGCGGGGCCGGAGAGGGGACCUGCUGCCGGGGAGUCCCGAAGGGCCGCACGGGCCAGCUCACCACGGAGCAGAGUGGACACGUCAGGCACACACGUCGGGGCUGCACGGCCGCCUGACUCCCUGAAUCACCUGCCGGCUGGUCAGCCCGACCCGAUUCGGGGCUCUGACCCCAAAAAGGCAGGAGGCGCGUGCCCACGGGGUGCCCGGCACCCAGGAAGCUGGAAGCAUUCCAGUAGAUUAUGGCCCCAUUUUACAGAGAAGAAACCAAUGAAAAAGGAUGAAAGUCUGGGACAUCAGACAGGGACAGCGCACGUGACCAUUCACACGACAAAUAUCCUCCAACGGCUUCCUGGGGGCCAGGUACCGAUGUAGCUUCUGGAAAAUCCUCAUGUCUUGGAGGGCUCGUUCCAGUGAGGGAGACACACAAUAAACACCAUGAUAAGUAAAGCAAAAGGUCUGUUAGAUGGCGAAAGGGGCCCUGGGAGAAAGGGGGCCCCACAGUCCUAAGUGGGGAGACCAGGACCUAGGGGAGAGCUGGGGGAGGACAGGUCCCUCCUGGCAGAGUGAAAGUUAGUGCAAAGGCCCUGGGGCAGGAGAACGGGCAAGAGCGCCACGGCCAGAGGAGGGACGCACGCGGUGUCCAGUGCCAAAGAGCUGGGUCCUGCUCGGAGUGACGUGGGCUUGUUGGGGGUUUUAAAGAACCGUAUGCCUGUCUCCCACCUGGGUGAGGUCUCAUGCUGGGCUGAAUAAUGUCCUCCAAGAUUCAUGUCAACCUGCAAACUCAGAACGUGGCCUUAUUUAGAAAGAAGGUUUUGCAGAUGUGCUGGUUAAGAUGAGGUCAUGUUCAAUUGAGAUGUUUCUAAAUCCAGUGAUGGGUGUUCUUACGACAAGAGGAGAAACACAGACGCAGAGAAGCCACGUGGAGACAGAGGCAGCGAUGGGAGGGAUGCAGUCACAAGAAAGGGACACCCGUGGCCCCCAGAAGUUCAGGAGGGCGCACAGCCCUGCCACACCUCGGUUUAGGGACCUGGCCUCCCGAGCUGUGAGAGGAGUCAUUGUACUUCAGCCUCCAGUUCGUGGUGACUUGUUAGGGACACUCAUGCAGGGGGGGGGGAGAAAUGGCCAGAUCCUGGAUCUGUUUUGAAUCUAGAGCUGACGGGAUUUCCAGAUGUGCUCGAAAGGGCGGGUCAAGGACACCGGGACCGGC